rnacentral:rRNA from 1 species
GCCUAAAGCGUCCGUAGCCUGCUUUGUAAGUUUUCGGUUAAAUCCAUAUGCUCAACAUAUGGGCUGCCGGGAAUACUGCACAGCUAGGGAGUGGGAGAGGUAGACGGUACUCGGUAGGAAGGGGUAAAAUCCUUUGAUCUAUCGAUGACCACCUGUGGCGAAGGCGGUCUACCAGAACACGUCCGACGGUGAGGGAUGAAAGCUGGGGGAGCAAACCGGAUUAGAUACCCGGGUAGUCCCAGCUGUAAACUAUGCAAACUCGGUGAUGCGUUGGCUUGUAGCUAGCGCAGUGCCGCAGGGAAGCCGUUAAGUUUGCCGCCUGGGAAGUACGUACGCAAGUAUGAAACUUAAAGGAAUUGGCGGGGGAGCACCACAAGGGGUGAAGCCUGCGGUUCAAUUGGAGUCAACGCCAGAAAUCUUACCCGGAGAGACAGCAGAAUGAAGGUCAAGCUGAAGACUUUACCAGACAAGCUGAGAGGUGGUGCAUGGCCGUCGCCAGCUCGUGCCGUGAGGUGUCCUGUUAAGUCAGGUAACGAGCGAGACCCUUGCCUCUAGUUGCCACCAUUACUCUCAGGAGUAGUGGGGCGAAUUAGCGGGACCGCUGCAGUUAAUGUGGAGGAAGGAAAGGGCCACGGCAGGUCAGUAUGCCCCGAA